GUGCUCACGUGACAGCAUAUAUACUAAAAUUGUAACAAUACAGAGAUUAACAUCUCCCCUGCGCAAGGAUGACAUGCAAAUUCGUGAAACGUUCCACAUUUUG